UUCUGAUCAUACGUGCCGUGUCAGCUGGAGCGUGUCAUUGGUUCAAUGGAUGAAAAGGAAGAGAAGUAGUAUGCCUUUUGCAGUUCCAGUAGUAUCUCGAGAGGUAACCAACCAUUUUCAUGAUUGCUAUGAAUGACAAAGUUCAUUUUGAAUCUGUCAUAAGACUGGUUUUGGAAAAUAAUGGAUAUUUAAAACCAUCUAUACCAGUUGCCAAUUUGGAUACAAUGAAAGUAACCUACGGAAGGAAAUAUCCACCAGAUAAAAUAAACUAUAACUGCUUCAAGUAGCAGAUAUGUGAUUAUGAGAAAUAUUGAUACAUUAGUAUAAUUGGGAAGAAGCAAAAUACUAUUUUGUUUUGGAGCGAUGUUUUUUGACAGUCAAGGAAUCUGCCAGGCUCGUUGCAACAAAUAGCAACUGAAAUUUCUAAAUCUCAACU